rnacentral:rRNA from 1 species
ACAGAGGGUACAAGCGUUGUUCGGAAUUACUGGGCGUAAAGCGUGCGCAGGCGGUUCGUUGUGUCGGCGGUGAAAGCCCCGGGCUUAACCUGGGAAUGGCAGUGGAAACUGGCGGGCUUGAGUGUGGCAGAGGGGGGUGGAAUUCCGCGUGUAGCAGUGAAAUGCGUAGAGAUGCGGAGGAACACCGAUGGCGAAGGCAGCCCCCUGGGCUGACACUGACGCUGAGGCACGAAAGCGUGGGGAGCAAACAGGA